CUAACUCUAAACUUCAACACAAAAUCUGAUGUAGAAAUGGAGAAAAUAGAGGAGUAAGAGAAGUAAAGAUAAGAACAGAAAAAGCUGUGGAAAGUUCGUCAGUUUACUAACUCCAUUGAGCUCGGUCACUCACAUUUCCAAUUACGCUAAAAUUUGUGCAGACAGAGACACGCAACAAGAUGUCCAUCGCAAUUCCCAACCGUCAAUUGUUCAUAGACGGUGACUGGAAAGUCCCUGCCCUCGGCAAACGGAUUCCCAUCAUCAACCCUUCCACACAACAGAUCAUCGGGGAUAUCCCAGCCGCUACUAAGGAAGAUGUCGACGCCGCCGUCGCCGCCGCCAAAGCCGCCCUUUCCCGCAACAAAGGCGCCGAUUGGGCCUCCGCUUCCGGCGCUGUUCGGGCCCGCUAUCUCCGUGCCAUCGCUGUCAAGGUCACCGAGAAAAAACCCGAGCUCGCAAAACUAGAAGCCAUCGAUUGUGGAAAACCGCUGGAUGAAGCUGCCUGGGACAUCGACGAUGUUGCUGGUUGCUUUGAGUUCUACGCUGAUCUGGCUGAAAAAUUGGACUCCAAGCAAAAGGCUCCGGUGUCUCUUCCCAUGGACACAUUCAAGAGUUACGUUCUUAAGGAGCCAAUUGGGGUUGUAGGAUUAAUAACUCCCUGGAAUUAUCCUAUGUUGAUGGCUACGUGGAAGGUUGCUCCUGCUCUGGCAGCGGGUUGUGCUGCAAUAUUGAAGCCCUCUGAGUUGGCAUCUGUGACCUGCUUGGAGCUAGGUGAGAUUUGCAAAGAAGUGGGGCUUCCUCCUGGUGUGUUGAACAUUCUCACUGGAUUAGGACCUGAAGCUGGUGCUCCAUUAGCAGUCCAUCCUGAUGUCGACAAGAUUGCCUUUACUGGAAGCUCUGCAACGGGGAGCAAGAUUAUGACGGCCGCAGCCCAGCUGGUCAAGCCUGUUUCACUAGAGCUUGGUGGAAAAAGUCCAAUCGUUGUCUUUGAGGAUGUUGACCUUGACAAGGCUGCUGAAUGGACCAUCUUUGGCUGCUUCUGGACAAAUGGUCAGAUAUGCAGUGCAACUUCCCGCCUUAUUGUACAUGAAAGUAUAGCAACAGAGUUUUUGAAUAGGAUUGUGAAAUGGAUAAAAAACAUCAAAAUUUCUGAUCCCUUGGAAGAAGGUUGCAGACUGGGCCCUGUUGUUAGUGAGGGACAGUAUGAAAAAGUAUUGAAGUUUAUCUCAAAUGCUAAGAGUGAGGGUGCAACCAUUUUGACUGGUGGGUCUCGCCCUGAGCAUCUAAACAAAGGAUUCUUCGUUGAACCGACUGUCAUAACUGAUGUGACUACCUCUAUGCAAAUUUGGAGAGAAGAAGUAUUUGGACCUGUUCUCUGUGUAAAAACAUUUAGCACUGAGGAAGAAGCUAUUGAUCUAGCAAAUGAUACUGUAUAUGGCUUAGGUUCUGCUGUAAUAUCAAAUGAUUUAGAAAGAUGUGAGCGCAUUACUAAGGCUUUUAAGGCUGGAAUUGUGUGGAUUAAUUGCUCUCAACCAUGCUUCACUCAAGCCCCAUGGGGAGGCGUUAAACGCAGCGGCUUUGGUCGUGAAUUAGGAGAAUGGGGACUUGAUAAUUACUUAAGUGUGAAGCAAGUGACUAAGUACAUCUCUGAUGAACCGUGGGGCUGGUACCACUCUCCUUCAAAGAUGUGACACUUAUCUAACAGCUGAGAUGUAAUAAGGUGUGGGUAAACACCAAAUUACGGUAGGAUCUCAAUGUUGAGAAGACAUUAUGUCAAUAUUUCUCUGAACUCUAGUUCACCCGGACUGAAGUAUCAUUCCUACUUUUUUCAUGACGGGGUGGAUAGUGCAAUCAUAUUCAAGGUGGUGACAUUUCUUAAGUAAAGCUUGAAAGUAAUAAUAGUUGCAUUUAUAGAAAAAUAAAGAAAAACUACUACCAUCAUGGAGGUUGUUGACAAUAUUAUAAAUGUUUGUUUGGUUUAGAGAAUGGUUUUAAUGUGAAAUUAAUAUCUUGAACAA